ACGUAGGGAGCGAGCGUUGUCCGGAAUCAUUGGGCGUAAAGCGCGCGUAGGCGGCCCGAUAAGUCCGCUGUGAAAGUCAACGGCUCAACUGUUGAAAGCCGGUGGAUACUGUCGGGCUAGAGUACGGAAGAGGCAAGUGGAAUUCCUGGUGUAGCGGUGGAAUGCGCAGAUAUCAGGAGGAACACCGGUGGCGAAAGCGGAUCUCUGGCGCGUUACUGACGCUGAGGCUCGAAAGCGUGGGGAGCAAACGG
rnacentral:rRNA from 1 species